UAUUAAAAAUUUCAUCCAUUUCUACCGUUAAAAACUGGUGUGGUUAACGGAAUAACCAGACAAUAACAUGUGGCGUGCCACGUGUAUCUCAUCCUAGUGUACAUGGACAAGUUUUUAACAGUAGAAAUGGAUGAAAUUUUUAAUA
rfam:Gossypium arboreum cultivar AKA8401 contig_2959_3, whole genome shotgun sequence.